UGCGAUAAUUAAUGUGAAUUGCAGAAUUCAGUGAAUCAUCGAGUCUUUGAACGCACAUUGCGCCCCCUGGUAUUCCGGGGGGCAUGCCUGUCCGAGCGUCAUUGCUGCCCUCAAGCACGGCUUGUGUGUUGGGCUUCCGUCCCUGGCAACGGGGGCGGGCCCAAAAGGCAGUGGCGGCACCAUGUCUGGUCCUCGAGCGUAUGGGGCUUUGUCACCCGCUCCCGUAGGUCCAGCUGGCAGCUAGCCUCGCAACCAAUCUUUUUAACCAGGUUGACCUCGGAUCAGGUAGGGAUACCCGCUGAACUUAAGC
rnacentral:misc_RNA from 1 species